AGAUGUUCAGGGACAGAAGCAGUGCUGAUAGCGGAAGCAGCAAAUGUCAACUCGGUUCUGUUUGAUGAUGAUGAUGAUGAUGAUGAUGAUGGACCCGCUGGAGGCGGAUCUGGAUGAAGUGGCUCUGGAGGGUUUGGACGGCAUCAGUGUUCAGACUCUGUGGUUGAGGCUUCAGACGCGUCAGCCCGUGUUCGGAAUGAAUCUGGACCCGCUCAGUUAACAGUUCAUCUGGAGCGCAGUGAGCCGAACACCUGAGAUCCGAUUCUACCUGCUGCCCGAACCCAGAAAACCCGUCAGUCUGUUAAUAUAGUAACACAUUCAUUUAAGACUCAUUUAAACCAUAAACUAAUAUCCCCAGAAAAUUGCAGGGUGGGGUGAGAAACUGGUGAUGGUGGCAUCUCAGGAGGUCCGUCGAGCUCUGAUUGGGCCGGAAGGGAAUUCUAAGCUCAAGCUGCGCACAUUCAAGUAUGUGUAUCAGUACAGGUCUGCAGCUAAGAUGGCACAGACGCGUAUGCUCGCUGUCUGAAGCUGUUGAAGCCUUACGGACAGAGGGAGGAUUAUGAUGAUGAUGAUGAUAGCAACAAUGAUGAAGGCGAUGCGACCGUGAAGAGGAGCAUUCUUGCCGCGCCUCGCAUCAUCGAGCGUGACGUGAUCACACAAGCCUACGAUAUCGGUUCAACUUCAUUUCCCUGUCUCUCAAACACAGAUUUAUACUUCACUUUGAUCUGAUUUUAGUCCUCCUGAAUUUCACUGUAAAUAUUCACCAGUACAGUGUGUGUUGUUUGACUGACUGUUGUCCUCUGCGCUGUGAUUGGCUGGUCCAGUGGUGUCGACCGGGAUUAGAGGGAUCUCUCAAUCAGCGUUGAGAGGUCGACUCAACUUCAGGAAACUGGAGGGACGAAUGAUCUGUAAAUUACUGGAGCAAAUCGAUAUGAUCAAGGGAUUUAUGGUGGACGAGGGGCGUCAGAGAACCACUAAAUACAUCAGCAAACACUUUGUGGAACAGAGUCAACUCAACUUCAGGUUCACUAAAGAACAAGAGCGCAGCAAACACCUGCGUACCACACACCUCACAGAACCAGAUCCAGAACCAGCCAGAACCGGAUCAGCUCAUGGAGGCCUUGGAGGAGGUGCUGAAGGGCAGUUCUGAGGGGCAAGAGACACAGACAAGACUCCAGAUACCCCUGCAGCUCAAACAGUCCAAACUCGUCUUCAAGAAGAAGCCUCCGUCUUCACCUCAAGUGAGCGGAUCUAAAUCCUCACAGAAGGCUAAAGUGUGUCAGGAAACAGAUGAUUUGUGCCCCAUCCCCACUGAACACGCCCCCACCACGAGUGCCAGCCAAUCACAUAUGGAAGACACACUGUUGGUGUUAGAGGAAGUGCUCACAAUGAUGAACGUGGUACCUUCAGGCAUUUGGAAAUUGCUCCCAAGGAUGAACCAGACUUGUGGAGGUCCACAAUUUGUUUUCUGAGGUCUUGGCUGAUUUCUUUUGAUUUUCCCAUGAUGUCAAGCAAAGAGGCACUGAGUUUGAAGAUAGGCCUUAAAAUACAUCCACAGACAGUCUGUCUGUACAUGCGGUAUCGAGAACCAGUGUUGUCUCAGGCGUUUCAAAUAAGUCAGAGACGGGGAUUAGUGAACUGUCGCCGCCCUGCCGCCAUCUAAGGCCUGAAGAAGUACCACACCCUCCCGUUCCUGCCCAUGUCCUUUCAGCUGUCACAGCACUAUUACAGGGUUUUCACAUGCCGUUUCCCCAGCACCUUGUGUAAUGAUGUGUUUGAUCUGAUGAUGGGUUUAUAUGAGACCGGCGGCAGCGACAGACCUGACAGCUUCUCCUUCCACAAAGACCCAGAGAAUGACCGAGAUGAAGACCAAUGACAGGAGGAGGAGCAGACGGAGGUUCUUGAGCAGGUGGAGAAGCAGAAGGAGACGUAGGAUGGAGGUGUCUCCUGCAGACACACAGGGAAUGUUGGAUCUCCCAAUGGACUCUCCGGGAGGCACCUGUGCAUGCUGUCUCUCAUGACCCUCGGACUGCUGUCUGUGGACGUCAGUAUUCCACAACAGAUCGUCAUCAUAGACAGCAGCGUUAACGACAAUGACAUGCUCAAGAGUCUGACCAAAGCACUGGAGGAGGAAGAGGACGAUGAUGAAGAGAGGAAGAUUUUAUGCUCCGGGAACCCUGCGCUCACACACAUAAACACACAAAUCCAACUGCACUGACAACAUCAUGAUCAGUGCCUGCACCGUCCACAUUCAGCUGAGACAGACACCCAAACACACACUCUUCACACAAGACGCUGAUGCCGUCUCAGCGCUCGCUCCAUCCUGUCCUCCGUCUCUGCCAGCGUCGUUUACGCGUGUGUAUCCCUUAGCAGCGGUGGAUCUGCAGCCAUUCUUGGACAGGUGUGGGAGCUUGUUGGGAUACGCACCGCAGGACGUUCAGGCGGUCCAAGAGAUCAGAGAUGCCGUGGAGCAGGAGGCGGAGUUUGGCAUUGAUAGACAGGACCUGUGUGAGCGCUUUGUACACCUGGAACAACAUGAGAAUGGCCGCAACAGAACACUACAACAAUCUAUACAGGUGUUGAUUGAGUUGGGCUGUGUGAGGAAGCGCUACAUCGUGCACCAGCACAAGACGUCGCUGUUCUCCGAACCCAGAGCGCCACAGAUCAAAGGUCAAUCGGAGGUCAGUGUGAGGGACGCGGUGAACUGUACACUGAGACUGGCACGAGUCUUUCCUCAUGAGCUCAACUGGAAGAAGUGGGUUCAACUCUGUCUACGACUUUGACUGAACACGCGUAUGAAGACGUUAAUGAAUCCUGUUUGUAUUUUGAUGUUUAUUCAGAUUUAACAUUGUCUGCUUGUUGCACAAAAUAAAGAAAUGUUUCAUCACACAACA